UACGAAGGGGGCUAGCGUUGUUCGGAUUUACUGGGCGUAAAGCGCACGUAGGCGGAUCGUUCAGUCGGGGGUGAAAUCCUGGAGCUCAACUCCAGAACUGCCUUCGAUACUGGCGAUCUAGAGUCCGGAAGAGGUGAGUGGAACUCCUAGUGUAGAGGUGGAAUUCGUAGAUAUUAGGAAGAACACCAGUGGCGAAGGCGGCUCACUGGUCCGGUACUGACGCUGAGGUGCGAAAGCGUGGGGAGCAAACAGG
rnacentral:rRNA from 1 species